AUACACUGCAACCUAAUUAGGAAAAAGGACAUCCCUAAUUAUUCCUGAUUAGAAAAGAUUUUACCGUUGAACGAGUAAUAUUAAGCGUCCAUUUUCAGAAGAGCAUCCAAAACCUUCUUUUCCCUUUUCCUUUCACCCAACUGUGAAACCCACUGCAUCAGAAUCCUGCGAUUCUCCUAGGGCUGAAAUCCUCAAUUUCAGUAUUAAUCAAAAUGUCUUUCUUCCGUUCCUUGUUUCUGUGAUGCUAUUUGAUUUCUGAUUCUUCUGUGGAUUGAAAUGAAAAUAUAGUUCAUACUGGGGAAAUGGGUUUAUUCUCAACCACUUGACAUUGCUGUAGCAGUCAUAGAAUGAAGAGAAGAAAAGAGUAACUCUAGGCUUUCUAAAUCUAGCAUCUCAUUUCGUAGUUCCUAGUGCUUAUUCUUCAAUAGGUUUAAUGUGCGAUCAAUUUCUUUAAUUUCGACUUUCUAUUGGCAAGAUGAAAUUAUAUAUUUUUGUCUUUUUGUUUGUUUUUCCAAUUGUUAGAGCUUUUCAUUUGUUAUUCUUGAAAAAGAUACAGGAGAAUGCCCUUUUCAUUUGUUACACAUUAGGCACUCUUCUUUUAUUCCAUUCAAUUUCGUGAAAAAAUAAAUAUUAAGAAGAAAUUGUAGUUCAAAAGCUCCAUGAUAAGAGCCUGGAGAACUGUUGAUGUUAAUGCAGUUCAGCGACAUCGUUUCUUCAUUUGAUAAUGACGACUCUAACGCUUCCUCGCAUCUGUAAUCCUUCUCAUGCAAAUAAAACCAUGUGGCAAUGCCGACAUGAAGGAGAGGUGCAAUUUAAUCACACAACUCAUGUCUAAAAUUUCAGCUUCUUUUCUAGAUGAAGCGUUGCUCUUAUGUUCUGCAUUGG